UACAGAGGGGGCAAGCGUUGUCCGGACUUACUGGGCGUAAAGGGUGCGCAGGCGGUCUGAUGCGUCGUCGCUGAAAGCUCUCGGCUCAACUGAGAGAGGCGUGGCGAUACGAUCAGACUCGAGUCUCUGAGAGGGUGGCGGAACUCCUGGUGUAGUGGUGGAAUGCGUAGAUAUCGGGAGGAACACCAGUGGCGAAGGCGGUUGCCUGGAGCUUUGCUGACGCUGAUGCGCGAAAGCGUGGGGAGCGAUCCGG
rnacentral:rRNA from 1 species